CUUACUCCUGAGUAAAGGGAGUUUUCAUGCUUACCUGAAAGCCCCAUUGAGCUGACUGCAAUCCUGUGCAUAAUUGCUCAGAAGUAAGUGGCAGUGGAUUGCAGUUAGUCCUCAGUCAUUUACUCCCAAGUAAAUGGGUUCCGUACCUGCAUCAGAAUAAUAGAGCUUUUGUUUUAAAUGUUUACAAACUCAGGAGAAAAUCACGUUUUUGUAUGAACCGAGUGAGGAAGAGCAUGAGCUCCUAUAUCUAUGCUGGGUUUCUUUUCUUGUUGACACACUGCUUCCCCAUCACAGCUACACAAAUCCCGGAUCCCGGAUUUGUUUUCUAUGAGAACAGGCAUUUCAUCAGGGAAGAUGAGUAAAAAAAUAAAACGAAAAGGUUAAAAACCAAACUAAAGCCCAACCUUUUUGGACCAGUGGGCCCAUUUUGAAUUUGAGAGAGUCAUGUGGGCGUCAUUCACAAAAUGGCUGUUAUAGGGGAUCUUGGCAUAACAUCACAUGGCUGCUGUGGGGUGCCUGGCAUAACACAAAAACAGUGCACAAUCAUCACUACCACCACCCUGACAACCUCACACUUACCACGGGAAGUCAGUUAUGUACUACAUAUUGCAGAAUAGUUUAGGGGGAGAGAGGGCAUAGCCUGGAGAAAGACCUGAUGGCCAGAUAGACAAGUCAUUUGCCAAAGGGAAGAAAAGGUGGCAAGCACUCUAUUUCACCUCUUUGGGUCUCCAGCAAGGGCAGGGUCCUGUAGCGUAUUUCGGCGGCAAAAAAAUCAAAUAGAGGAACUUAGCUAUUAUCUUCGUGAGCUCCUGAUCUCUCCCCUGUAAUAGGAAGCGUAUGACCCCUCUCUCUGGUUUCCAUAUUGGGAUACAUAGAUGGUCUAAAAAUUGUUGGCAGAGAUCAUCAUACAUUUUACAUUUAAGGGCCAUGUGAGCUAGAGUUUCCACCAGGUGGGCAUCGCAUGGGCAGAUCCUAUCUCCUUUUGCCAUACCCUCAAAACUACCCCAAAGAAGGUUAGAAGGAUUAGAAUUUAACCUAGCCAGUGAAAAAGCCCUUCUUUCUUGCGGGUUAAACAAAAAUUAGAGAUAAUUUGGGUUUAAAAGAGCAGACUUCUUGCAGUAAGGAAAGUGUCUGGGAAAUGCACUGGAAAGUGUGGGGUUACACUUGUGACUGAAACCUCCCUUCAAACAAAUCAGGACAGGACAAACAAUAAAUAGGUCAGCUGAUAUCUUUUCACAAAUAUUUGGAAACCUCAGAUAUAUUGCUUGUGUGAGUUCCACAAUCAUUUAGUUAAAAUUUGUAGAUUAGAAAUGAGCAAUAUGAUCACUUUAAUGUAAGAAGCCUGAAUUUCUGUUUAUUUUCCCUUUACUUUGCCUCUGGCUGUGGAUGUGUGCUGGCCAGGUGUUCCUAAUAAUGGAACCACUCCUUCUUUACCUGAUGAAAAGGUUUCCUAUUGUGCACCAUUAUGAUUCAAUCAGUGUUCUUAAUUUCCUCAGCUUGGAGGGAUUUGUAAAGAAUCCCUCAUUACAGAACUGAAAGAAUUUCCCUUCAAUCAUUUUAGACGAGAGGCUCAUUUGUGGGAACUGCCAUAUAUAAUUAAUCCUAGAUAUCCAAAAGAAAGGUUUCAGGUUACAUCACUUUAUUUCAACCUGCUGAGCACAAAGGUCUGGCACAUAUAAAAACAUGUUGUGACAUCUGCAUUCAUUUAAACAUUUUGCCAAUCUCAAUAUUUCUUUUCUCUACUGCUGCGUAUCAGAAUGGGUUCAGUUUAUCUGUUUCAAAACAAAUUAAUACUUCUGAUGUUAUGACCGUUUGCACUUCAAUAGGCUCUUGAACAAACAGUGAGGUUUCCCACUGAGGUCAGCCAAUUUGUUUUGCCUGAGAAGGCAACAUUAAAAAAAAUGCAGAGUUAUGGAAAACAAAAUGCCCUCUUUUCUUUUUCUUUUUUUUACCAGAACAUAAGAACAGAAUCACUUGAUUAGAGUACCGUAAUAGAUAGUAGUGACACUUCCAUAAUCAUACACUGUUCCCCCAUCCUGGGAUUAUAGCCAAUAUCUAGGACAAAGUUUCAGAAAUGAAUAUAGGAAGUUCUGUUGAAAUAAACUAUUUCCAACCAGGCUUUAUCGUUUGAAAAUUGAUGUUAUCCAGUGGACAGAGUAUUGCUUGAUCCUGGAGACGUCAGUGCUAUUUUUCUAGAAAAAGAGGUGCCAGAACUCACAACGAACAUCUCCAUCAUUCUUUUAGAAUGGCAAUGGUGCUCACCUGAACUGAGCACCAGCGAGUUCCAACAGAAAAAAGCCCUGGUUCAAGUAGUACCACAGCUAUCAUGGAUUAUAUGCCAUUGACCGUGGAGUUUCUGGCAAUAAGUGUUUUUUGGGUGAUAUGCAGCCCUGGCACCAGCACGCAGCCAACUGCUGAGGCUCAAGUGUAACAGCUGUUGCUGCAGGAGCAGCCAGCGAAGACUAGGAGUGGUAUGGCAGCAAGCCUGAAUGGCGCUUUGGGCAGCACACCUGAACCCCCUAGCACUGUGGCUGUCUUCGUAAUUGUGGUGGUCCUGCCCCCAAUGUGGGUAUGUCAGGGGCAGAUCCAGCAUUAAUAAGGCAGUGCUGCUGGUGAAUCUGGGCACAUGGCCCUGAUCAGUGCUGCUGCCAGGCAAACUAUCUGCAGCAAAAAUUGGAGAGACACAGCAGCCUCACUGAGUGGCUCUCCAGGUUGCAUGCCUGAACUUGGUGGCAACUGUCAACAUAAUGCCAACUCUGAUGUACCUGUAAAUCAAAAUACAGCCCAGAGUUCUGUUCAGCACUGCCAUUGCUACCACCAUGGGUGGGCAGGCAUGUAGCCCUUCUGAAACCAAAUUAGGGAAACCAGGUCUACUGAGUGCUGAGGGGGGCACCUUGCCCCGACCCUCCAAAACCUAUAGCUGAGUGUGAUAAUAUGGAAAGUUGACAGCUUUAGGUUGUAGGGCAAAGUGCCCACUUGCCACAGGACAGCAUGCCAUCACAAGCAGAGCAUGGUGUGCAUUUAGCCCUCAGCAUCUUAGUAGUACUCCAGCCCUUUGUAAGAUUUCUUACCCAGCCUUCACCAUGUCCCAGGACAGGUUACAAGUAUAUAAUAAUAUACAGUUAUAAAAACAAAACCAUUGUAAUGAUAAAAAACUACAAUAGUAAAGCUGUUCCAAAUGGAACAAAACAGUACACAUUCAGCAAAAGAGGCAAAUCCCACAAAAUAUACCUUAAUUGUCAAAGGCCAGGAUGAAUUGGUGUGUCUUCAGCAUGCGACAAAAAUUGUACAAUGAAGAUACUAGACACACCUCUGUGGGAAAUUCCAUUUUCGAGGCUGCCACAGAGAAAGCCCUCUCCUGUAUUAGCAGAGGCACUUGAGACAUGCAGAGACCAAGAAGAAAAUCCUGGUAAAUGUUUAUUGAACACACUGAGCAAAAUCAUAUACAAUUUAAGCUUUCUUUUUGACAGGCCUUCUCGAGAGCAGGGAGACAUUCGUCUAGAUAUCCAGAAGAAAACUCCCUCACGGCUAGACAGCCUAUCAAAGCAAGUGAUACUUUACUGAGCAUCUUUACUUCUGUAAAGAUCAUGCCACCUACCCUCUUGGGUAGUUGAUGAACACGAAGAAUAGAAUUAACCUUUAAGUUACACACUGAAUGAUCUCUGCUGUUGCACUUCCAACAUUUUAUGCUGCUGUUCUCCACAUUUCUGAGGGUGACAGAACUACCACCAUACAGCCCCUCUGAAGAUCUUACAAUGCAAUAAGGUUUUUAGGUAUGGAGGUUUCCGAUAUUUGUGGCCUAAAUCAAUUAGUUUUAAACACUCAUGUGAGCACCUUAAUGAGUUUACUUGGAAGAGAUACCCC